UUUCCGGUUGAUCCUGCCGGACCUGACUGCUAUCGGAUUGAUACUAAGCCAUGCAAGUCUUUGUAGUAAUACAAGGCAUACGGCUCAGUAACGCGUAGUCAACCUACCCUAUGGAUGGGGAUAAUCUCGGGAAACUGAGCAUAAUACCCGACAGAUCAUCAAUUCUGGAAUGGUUGAUGAUUCAAAUGAUUUUUCGCCAUAGGAUGGGACUGCGACCUAUCAGCUUGUUGGUGAGGUAAUGGCCCACCAAGGCAAUUACAGGUACGGGCUCUGAGAGGAGAAGCCCGGAGAUGGGUACUGAGACAAGGACCCAGGCCCUAUGGGGCGCAGCAGGCGAGAAAACUUUGCAAUGUGCGAAAGCACGACAAGGUUAAUCCGAGUGAUUUCUGCUAAAGGAAUCUUUUACCAGUUCUAAAAGUACUGGCGAAUAAGGGGUGGGCAAGUUCUGGUGUCAGCCGCCGCGGUAAAACCAGCACCUCAAGUGGUCAGGAGGAUUAUUGGGCCUAAAGCAUCCGUAGCCGGCUCUGUAAGUUUUCGGUUAAUCUAUAUGCUCAACAUAUAGGCUGCCGAAAAUACUGCAUAGCUAGGGAAUGGGAGAGGUAGACGGUACUCGGUAGGAAGGGGUAAAAUCCUUUGAUCUAUCGAUGACCACCUGUGGCGAAGGCGGUCUACCAGAACAUGUUCGACGGUGAGGGAUGAAAGCUGGGGGAGCAAACCGGAUUAGAUACCCG
rnacentral:rRNA from 1 species